UACGAAGGGGGCUAGCGUUGCUCGGAAUCACUGGGCGUAAAGCGCACGUAGGCGGACUCUUAAGUCGGUGGUGAAAUCCUGGAGCUCAACUCCAGAACUGCCUUCGAUACUGAGAGUCUUGAGUCCGGGAGAGGUGAGUGGAACUGCGAGUGUAGAGGUGAAAUUCGUAGAUAUUCGCAAGAACACCAGUGGCGAAGGCGGGUUGCUGGGCUGACACUGACGCUGGAGGCGCGAAAGCUAGGGGAGCGAACGGG
rnacentral:rRNA from 1 species